rnacentral:rRNA from 1 species
GACGAACGCUGGCGGCGUGCUUAACACAUGCAAGUCGAACGCUGAAGCUUGGUGCUUGCACUGGGUGGAUGAGUGGCGAACGGGUGAGUAAUACGUGAGUAACCUGGCCUUGACUCUGGGAUAAGCCUGGGAAACUGGGUCUAAUACUGGAUACGACAUGUCACCGCAUGGUGGUGUGUGGAAAGGGUUUUACUGGUUUUGGAUGGGCUCACGGCCUAUCAGCUUGUUGGUGGGGUAAUGGCUCACCAAGGCGACGACGGGUAGCCGGCCUGAGAGGGUGACCGGCCACACUGGGACUGAGACACGGCCCAGACUCCUACGGGAGGCAGCAGUGGGGAAUAUUGCACAAUGGGCGGAAGCCUGAUGCAGCGACGCCGCGUGAGGGAUGACGGCCUUCGGGUUGUAAACCUCUUUCAGCACGGAAGAAGCGAAAGUGACGGUACGUGCAGAAGAAGCGCCGGCUAACUACGUG